GGCACGCAGGCGGUGACUUAAGUGAGGUGCGAAAGCCCCGGGCUUAACCUGGGAAUUGCAUUUCAUACUGGGUCGCUAGAGUACUUUAGGGAGGGGUAGAAUUCCACGUGUAGCGGUGAAAUGCGUAGAGAUGUGGAGGAAUACCGAUGGCGAAGGCAGCCUCCUGGGAUAACACUGACGUUCAUGCUCGAAAGCGUGGGUAGCAAACAGGAUUAGAUACCCUGGUAGUCCACGCCCUAAACGAUGUCAAUUAGCUGUUGGGCAACUUGAUUGCUUAGUAGCGUAGCUAACGCGUGAAAUUGACCGCCUGGGGAGUACGGUCGCAAGAUUAAAACUCAAAGGAAUUGACGGGGACCCGCACAAGCGGUGGAUGAUGUGGAUUAAUUCGAUGCAACGCGAAGAACCUUACCUGGUCUUGACAUGUACGGAAUCCUCCAGAGACGGAGGAGUGCCUUCGGGAACCGUAACACAGGUGCUGCAUGGCUGUCGUCAGCUCGUGUCGUGAG
rnacentral:rRNA from 1 species